CCACCUCUAAGGUUAUCCGCAUACGUAAUUGGGUGUGCUUUUGUGUAACUGGUUUGGUAACAGGUUUGGUAACAGCAGAUCGACUGUACUACUAAAAGACAUAGUUCAAGCAGCAAUACAUUCCUCUAUCUGGCGACAAAAACAUCAAUUUUCUGAGGAGAAAGAAGAACAGACUCUCGCGCCAUGGUCUGACUGCUGAUCAAAGCCAGCAUCUGGACGGUGAGGAAGAUUCGGGCCCACAUUGCUGAGGGAGAGCAAGCGGAGAAGCCCAUCUUCACACCAUGUGGUGUUAUUGGCUACAAGACCGACCCAUCGUGAAUGCAACUGCGCGCGUCCUUAUCCAAUUCCGAGGCUCAUGUUGAAGGCUUUAAGAAGGAGCAGUUGACAUCAGGUUCUGAUCCACCGGCGGCCGUAAUGACCCCUGAACCUGAUGAUGGUAUCGCUAACGGCGGCCCGGCGGCGUCAGAGACCGCCGUGCAGAAGUGCGGAUCCUGAGGUUAAAGGUCACACUGGAUAACUGGCUGGGACCAAUAAAUUAUUAUUAAGCAUGUCUUGAAAAGGAUGCAUUCACAGAACUGUAUGUCGACAAACGCAGUCUCCUUGUUCGAAAAACUUUUGUACGUUUAUCAGGGAAAUUCUACUUUCCUGAUCUGGACGGUCUAUAAACAACAUUCACUAUUCUGAUACGUCUUCAUUUCUUCUUCAAAAGUGUGGAUUAUGUAUUAUAUUACUAGAUAUAACUGCAUUGUUGGAGCUAGAAACAUAAGAAUUUUGCUGCACCUGCAAAUCUGUACGCGACCAAUAAACUUUGAUAACUUUUUUGUAUAGCCCAACAUACUCUUACUUAACUUUGCUAUCCUUAAUCAAAGCAUUCCCAUAGAAAUUGUCACUACGACCAUAAUGAUGACUAGUUUUGAGACCAAAUUAUGACAUAAGUCAUUCAAUUUACGUUGUGUAGGUUUCUGAACCCAAGUAUGCUAAUACGAUAUCGCAAUAAAAAGUUGAUUAUUUACUGAUCUAUAGAAGAUCUUUAACAGCCCUCCAACUGGAAAAAUGUUUAUGUUGUCAUGCCCUUGCUGUCCCAGCCUCUGUCCAGUGUGCCCAUACUCAGUGGACCAAAUACUAAGCUGAGAUACUUGCUGUAAUUCCAACUUUCAGUCAUUAAGUCAGUGUGAAGUUAUGACAUUUUCAUAUACACUGAUCUCAGGUUAAUAUUGGGUCCAGUGAGCUCUGUUUAACCUCUGACACCAGAUGACCCUUUAUAGCUGCAGCGUGUGACGACCUGCUCACCAACCCCUCCACCCAGGGACUGAGCUGUUCUGAUGCCCCUGCUGCAGCUUCCCUAAUAAAAACUUAAACUAUCUGGUCGACUUGUCUUUUAUUGUGUUGUAGGCAUAUAACUUCCCAGAAUAUCCAUUGUGAGCUAUUAGGUACUACUAUCCUCACUAAUGAACAUUAAAAAUGAUCAAGAAGUGCUAUGAAUCAUAAACAUUUCUUACAUAACUGCAACGUGAAA
ensembl:lncRNA